UACAGGGGGUGCAAGCGUUGCUCGGAAUUAUUGGGCGCAAAGCGCGCGUAGGCGGCCUUUUAAGUCGGAUGUGAAAGCCCUCGGCUCAACUGGGGAAGUGCACCCGAAACUGAAAGGCUUGAGUACUGAAGAGGGUCGCGGAAUUCCCAGUGUAGAGGUGAAAUUCGUAGAUAUUGGGAGGAACACCAGCGGCGAAGGCGGCGACCUGGUCAGAUACUGACGCUGAGGCGCGAAAGCGUGGGGAGCAAACAGG
rnacentral:rRNA from 1 species